rnacentral:sRNA from 1 species
CGGACUCGGAGCGGGCGGCGGAGUGACCCGGACAGCUGUCCUCUCUGACACCACCCCGGCCUGCCUCUUUGUUGCCAUGAGAGCUGCCUACCUCUUCCUGCUAUUCCUGCCUGGUAAGUGGCUCCUGGGGCAGGGGGUAGCUCCCCUUAUGUGGGGCUGAGGAGUAGGGUUAGUAGGGGGAAUUCAUAGUGAGCCUUUGUCACGACUUAUGACCAGAACUCAGCUCCCCAGCUCCCAGGGCCUUCUGCCUGCUUGGACCACAGACUGGACCAGCCAACCCUGGCAGCAUCUGGAGGCAGCUCCUGGCCCUUCCCCCAGCCUUCCACAGCAGCAGGCAGGCAGGGUUCUGGAGGGCACGUCCCAGGCACAAGGACUCCGUGGGCACAAGGCACAAGGCCUCUCUGGGAGCUGAUGUGCAGGUGCAGGUGCAGGGGCACCCAAGGCAGGGAGUCUGGAUGCUUGAGUUCUAGAUCCAUUCAGGGCCCUUCUGCUCUAUACAGUCCUGACCUUGUGGGGGUCCCUACUGGCCAAAUGAGGAGAAUCAAUGAGGACCACAAAAGUCCUAGCAGGGCCAACAUUCAUUCAUUCAGCAGCAAUGUGUUGAGUCCCUACCACGUGCCAAGUGCUGGGCUAGGCCCUGGGGAUUCAGCGAUGAACCAGGCAGACACAUCGUUGCUCCUCAUCAUGCUGCCAGUCCAGGGAAGGGAGACAAAUAGGAAACAAGCAGACAUGAGAAACUCCAGCAUGUGCUGAGUGCUGGACAGAAAUCAGCAGGAGGGCUGGUGGGCUGGAGGUGGGGUGGCAUCUUGGCACAGCUGAAAUUCCAGGGAAGACCUGAAGGAGCUGAGCAGGCCUCACAGGCCCAGGGAGCGUCAGGUGCAAAGGCUCUGAGGGAGGCAGGAGCACGUGGAGUCCUAGGAGCAGCCAGGAGGCCAGCAACAGGAAGGGGCAGGGUAAGGUCAGGGAGGUGACCCACGACCAGGGUGGGGAAGGCUCUUUACCAUCGAAGAAGAGUCUGGAUCCUCUAGGAAUCUGCUUGUAGGGUCCUAGGCUCUUACAGGCCUGACCUUGUGACCCCUGCCUCCACUCUCCAGAAGCGCCUCGGGCCCCUGUUGCCCCUCCCGAUGGGGUACCCUACAUGCUUUGCCUCCCCACAGCAGGCUUGCUGGCUCAGGGCCAGUAUGACCUGGACCCGCUGCCGCCGUUCCCUGACCACGUCCAGUACACCCACUAUAACGACCAGAUCGGUAAGGGCCUUGCCGGGUCACCGAGGUCUGGCUGCUCAGAUGUGCCUGGCUCAGCCAGGGACCGCACUGGACACGCUGAUGGGAACUCUGGGGGUUGGUCCCUGGCUCAGGAGGGAACUUGUUUGCCCCAGGGGCUGGGGGAUUAGCCUUACUCCCACCAAUUCCACUUUCAUCUUUGUUUGCAGACAACCCAGACUACUAUGAUUAUCAAGGUAACGGGCUAGGGGUAGGAUAGGACGGGCCGGCAGCUGGGGUGGGGAGACCCCCUGGGAAGGGUAGAGGGAGCAGACCCCCUUAUCCUCCCCUGGCUGCAGAGGUGACUUCUCGGCCCUCCGAGGAACAGUUCCAGUCCCAGCAGCAAGUCCAACAGAAAGUCAUCCCAGCCCCAACCCCAGAACCAGGAAAUGCAGAGCUGGAGCCCACAGAGCCUGGGCCUCUUGACUGCCGUGAGGAACAGUACCCGUGCACCCGCCUCUACUCCAUACACAGGCCUUGCAAACAGUGUCUCAACGAGGUCUGCUUCUACAGCCUCCGCCGUGUGUACGUCAUUAACAAGGAGAUCUGUGUUCGUACAGUGUGUGCCCACGAGGAGCUCCUCCGAGCUGACCUCUGUCGGGACAAGUUCUCCAAAUGUGGCGUGAUGGCCAGCAGCGGCCUGUGCCAAUCCGUGGCGGCCUCCUGUGCCAGGAGCUGUGGGAGCUGCUAGGGUGGUGCUGGCAUCCUGAGUCCUGGCCCUCCUGGGAUCUGGGGCCCUCGGGCCCUGCCUGACCUGGUGCUUUUUUCCCCAUCCCCAUGUUCCUUUAUUUCUGUAAAAAGUUAGUGGACUGCAGCCCUGGGGGUUGCAGGCUGCGGUGCCUCAGGCCCCUCCUUCAGCCUGUGGCCACCUCUGGGGCACGAUGGGGGCUCCCCACUGCCCAGUCUGCCCCUCGGGUUGGGGGAGUAUCCCAGGCCUCUCUGUGGGACCUGGGCCCCUGAUGGGCCUUCUCAGCCCGUUUUGAGGACAGACAGUCCCCCGAGGUAGGCUACAUCCCCCCACCCCAGCUGGUCUGCUUGGAUUUCCUACAGCCCCCGUGGGCAUGGACCACCUUUAUUUUAUACAAAAUUAAAAACAAGUUUUUACAAAA